GCUGGAGUUGCUAGUAAUCGCGAAUCAGCAUGUCGCGGUGAAUACGUUCCCGGGCCUUGUACACACCGCCCGUCACACCAUGAGAGUUGGGAAUGCCCGAAGUCAGUGACCCAACCUUAGGGAGGGAGCUGCCGAAGGCAGGCCUGGUGACUGGGGUGAAGUCGUAACAAGGUACC
rnacentral:rRNA from 1 species